AUUUAGAAAAAUAAUUACCUAGACAUUCUAAAGUUCUAAUUAAAAAAGGAAAAAUAUUUGUUCAAUUUCUGCCUCACUAAAUGUAAAAAUUGUUUUUUUAUCAACCUUGUUCACCUUUACAUGUAACUUGACAGUGUUGCAGUCAUAAUGCAGGUUAUUUUUAAUGCAGAGAUCACUUUCAAUUCCUCCAUAUUGCCUUCAUGCUCAGCCAAUAACUAGAGAAGGUACAGGAGUUGGACACUACAAAAAAAUGCAGAACAUUGUCAGAAAUCAGAUCUGUUACAUAGUUGGGUCUGGUGCAGUGAACUCAGGUGCAGCUCUGCUCGGAGAGGCCAUGAUAAAGACGCCAGCCCCUGAGCCUCUGAUGCACGGGGGCCCCUGAUCGCCACCUUGCAGCGCUUGAGCCAUGGCACUGACCCAGGUGCUGCUGUAGAGCGGUUAGCGCACUGCUUGCGAGUAGUUUUCUGGUGUCAUUGUUCCCUCCUUGUGCAGUAGCUGCUCUUUAUUUGCAUAUACUGCUUACAGAGAACCAGGUCAGAAGUGGGGAGAGGGAAGGGAGGAUAUGGUCCAGGAAUUUUCCUAUGUUCUUACGUGCAGCCCCUGAGGGGAGCCUGGUGUUGGCUCUUUGUUUGCCGAUCAGCUGACCCUGGCCUGGGGUUCUAUUCAAUUGUAAUCCAUUAUCAUUUCUAAAUCUGUUGGUGGAGUCUUCUUUUCACACUUCUAUCUUCCAUAUGAAAAAUGUGCUUCUGUUUUCCUUUUGAGAUGAAAAGCUCUGUCUACAGAGAAGUCAGCGGUUUGAUGGAUUUGUCUGCCUGAAUACUGACUCAUCUACAUACCAGGAAUCAAAACAUGAAAUUUAUACCAUGUGUACACUCUUAUUGCAUGGAAACAAUUCAGGCUUACAGAAAGACCAAACAGCUUCUGUAAUGAAUGUGAAUUGUAGAAACUAUAAGAAUGACAUUUAUGUAUAGAGAGAUGACUAUGGGCAUGAAUCUCUUGACUAAGUUUCCUCAGGAUCACUGUAUAGAGGCGAUUUUAGUAGACUCUUGGUGCUGUCAGUCAGUGUUUAGGUCUCCUAGCUUUACUGUUUCAGACUCACCUUGAUCAUAGAAUUAUGGGUAAUUGAAUCCCUGGUUAAUGCUUAGUUAGCCAAACUCUCUCUGCUUAAUCAGUGGUCUUUACAGGUCAACACUGUGGUCCUGUUGACCCUUUAAUGCUUAUGUCACUCUAAGUAACGCGUUUACUCUGAUCUGCCUAUCGUUCUGGAAUAAUUAAACUCCAGAAGGAGCCUAAUACAUUGAUUUCAUCUCCAAAUAUAGUUCAACUAUGAAUCGCUUUGUCAGAAGCCAGCAGAUAGAGCCAAGACUGAAGGAACUCAUAGGAGAGAAACAGGAUUGCUCUGCACAGGGCCUCCCAGCAGAAUGUACAAAGUACGAAUCUCAUCUCAUUGGUUUUGCUUCAACCAGUGGAAAGCUUUAGAUCCUCACUUGAAGAGGCCCUUAUUGUGAGCUUCCCUGUCCACUCUGACCAUCCAGUGGGAAGUACUGGCCCUGGCUUGCUGUGGAAUGAUAUCAGCACAAGGGGCUGACCGGACACCACCUACAGCCUAGGACAGGUCUCCAUCACCGUGUUUCUUGGAGUGCAAACUGAAAGUUAUAACUUCUAACAGCUGAGGCGUUUGUAAGUAACCUACUAACAUGUGUCAUAGUCACAAACUGUUACAUGACAACAAGUCUGUUUAGUUGCUGAGUCAUAUCUGACUCUUUGCAACCCCAUGAACUGUAGCCCACCAGCCUCCUCUGACAGUGGGAUUUCCCAGGCAUGAAUACUGGGGUGGGUUGCCAUUUGCUUCUCCAGGGGAUCUUCCUAACCCAGGGAUCCAACCCACAUCUCUGCAUUGCAAGCAGGUUCUUUACUGCUGAGCCACCAGAGUGGCCUGUAUGACAGAGAAAGAGGAGGUUAUAAUGGCCGUAAUAUGAGAUCUGAUAGGAAGAUAGGCCAUUAAGUAGAAUAAAUUAUCAGUUAUGUAUGGAAUAGACAAAGAUUACACAUAGAGGAAAGUUAUAAAGGAAAAAAAUAGAACAAAAUUGUUAAUAGCCAUUUGCCUUUCUAAACAAAAAAUAUUUCAAUUUCUCCAUAUUUGAAGCAACUUGGUGGCUCAAAUGGUAAAGAAUCUACCUGCCAAUGCAGGACACCCAGGUUCCAUCCCUGAGUCAAAAAGAUCCCCUGGAGAAGGAAAUGGCAACCCACUCCAGUAUUCUUGUCUGGAAAACUCCAUGGACAGAGGAGCCUGGUGGGCUACAGUCCAUGGGGUCUCACAGAAUCAGACAUGACUGAGAGAGCGACUAAGCACACAAUGGAAUAGAGAGCAAGAGUUUUGAAAUUACACAGGUCUAAACGUGAAUCUCCACUUCACCAGUCAUUGAUGACGUGAUAUUGGAGGUUAUGAACAUCUUUGAGCCUCUGCUUCCAUAAUUGCUUCCUUAUCUUUAUCUUGCUUAUUUCAAAAGACUGUUGGGUGGAUGUGUGAG
ensembl:lncRNA